AAAGCACAAACGAGCAAGAGGGU
rnacentral:piRNA from 1 species